rnacentral:rRNA from 1 species
AUUGAACGCUGGCGGAAUGCUUUACACAUGCAAGUCGAACGGCAGCACGGGGGCAACCCUGGUGGCGAGUGGCGAACGGGUGAGUAAUACGUCGGAACGUGCCCAGUCGUGGGGGAUAACUACGCGAAAGCGUAGCUAAUACCGCAUGAGAUCUGUGAAUGAAAGCGGGGGACCUUCGGGCCUCGCGCGAUUGGAGCAGCCGAUGGCAGAUUAGGUAGUUGGUGGGGUAAAGGCUCACCAAGCCGACGAUCUGUAGCUGGUCUGAGAGGACGACCAGCCACACUGGGACUGAGACACGGCCCAGACUCCUACGGGAGGCAGCAGUGGGGAAUUUUGGACAAUGGGCGCAAGCCUGAUCCAGCCAUUCCGCGUGCAGGAUGAAGGCCCUCGGGUUGUAAACUGCUUUUGUACGGAACGAAAAGACUCUGGUUAAUACCUGGGGUCCAUGACGGUACCGUAAGAAUAAGCACCGGCUAACUACGUGCCAGCCGCCGCCGUAAAAC